rnacentral:lncRNA from 1 species
GCAAAUACCAGCAAGUGAUGGAGGGUGCAUGGAGGCUGGACCAUCAUGCAUUCCAACUGGGGGUGGUGGUACAGAUGUAAUCCUGCAGAGAAGUUUGUCAUGCAUUACACCAGCACCAAAUAACGGGAAGGCGCAAGCUCAGGCGAGACUAUCGGGCAUCAGGAAAGGAGGUGGUGGUGAGUGCCUCAGCAUUUAGUGUUUCUGUUCACUGUCUAAAAUGUAUUUUCAUUCCAGCUGCUGAAUGUACCGAGGGACAGACAAAGCUGCUGCUAGAGUACUACUAUAAGUACUUCCCACAGAUUGGCCCGUUCAAGAAAUUUAAAAACAAGAAACAGGCUUUCAAGCAAAUCUCCAUGGAUGUUGAAGCUAUACUUGGCAUCAAGAAAACACCAGAACAAUGUGAGAACCGCUACAAGACAGUGAUCAGACGUCGCAAGGCUGCCUCAGACAACAACAACAGAUCUGGAGCAUCACCGAGCCCUGUGCCAUUCGACGACGAGAUUCGCAAAAUAGAAACCAUUGACGACAGCAUUGAACCAGAAGUGCAAAGAGAUGCCUCAGGGGUUAUUUUCAAGGACUCGCCGGAAUCUCCAAGGCUUGUCUCACCAAAUGCAGAGAGCAUUGAGAAAAGUGAAAGCCAGUCGCCAAAUGCUGAUGUAAAACCGCGUUCAAGCACUGUACGCCUGCAACACAUGCAAUUGUUUUUUUUUCUGAAAUGAAGGCAAUAAAUGAAGAGUGGGAGUGUCGGAAAGCAGCCAGAGAUGCCGAGAAAGAAAACCGCAGAGCUCAACGGCAAGUAGAGCGACAGGCACUUCUUGACGAACGGCGCAAAAUGCACAAUGAGAAAAUGGAAAUUUUGCGUCAAGCCUUCGGUCUUCAGAAAUAAAAUAUUUCAUAUUCAGGACUAGUACAAGAGACGUUGAAGCGACGGGACAACAUGCAAGAAAUUGCGAGUUGUCCUGCCCUUUAUGCUUUUGAAUUCCGUGUUAUGUGCUAGUCCUAAAUAUGUCUACUAUACAACUGGA